rnacentral:rRNA from 1 species
UACGUAGGGUCCGAGCGUUGUCCGGAGUUACUGGGCGUAAAGCGCGCGCAGGUGGCUGUCUAAGUCUGGCGUGAAAGCCCCCGGCUCAACCGGGGAGGGUCGUCGGAGACUGGGGAGCUUGAGGGCGGUAGGGGCUGGUGGAAUUCCCGGUGUAGUGGUGAAAUGCGUAGAGAUCGGGAGGAACACCCGUGGCGAAGGCGGCCAGCUGGGCCGACCCUGACACUGAGGCGCGAAGGCGUGGGGAGCGAACGGG